rnacentral:rRNA from 1 species
UCGAGAAUUUUUCUCAAUGGGCGAAAGCUUGAAGGAGCGACGCCGCGUGGGGGAUGAAGGGCUUCGGCUCGUAAACCCCUGUCAUUUGCGAUCAAACCUUUCCGGUUAACAGCCGGGAAGCUGAUAGUAGCGAAAGAGGAAGGGACGGCUAACUCUGUGCCAGCAGCCGCGGUAAUACAGAGGUCCCAAGCGUUGUUCGGAUUUACUGGGCGUAAAGGGUGCGUAGGUGGUCGGGCAAGUUUGAUGUGAAAUCUCCGGGCUCAACUCGGAAAAUGCAUUGAAUACUGCCUGGCUUGAGGUUCGGAGGGGAGACUGGAAUUCUCGGUGUAGCGGUGAAAUGCGUAGAUAUCGAGAGGAACACCGGUGGCGAAAGCGAGUCUCUGGACGAAUUCUGACGCUGAGGCACGAAAGCUAGGGGAUCAAACAGG